AAGGAAAUUUUUAAAAUCGUCAUCUUCAGUUUUGAAAGACUUAAAUUAAUUUAAAAAAAUAAGUUUUUCUUUUUCAUUAAUUAUUCUUAUAGUAUUUAAUUUUUUAAGGGCCUAUAGCUCAGUUGGUUAGAGCACACGCCUGAUAAGCGUGAGGUCGGUGGUUCAAGUCCAUUUAGGCCCACCAGUCUAA
rnacentral:misc_RNA from 1 species